GAGGGGAGCGAGCGGGCCGCCGGGAGCGCACUGUGUACAAACAGAGGCGGCGUGCGUCCUUUGGAAGGAAUUGGGCCAUGAGAAGAGCCCUCAUGAAUGGGAUUAGUUCCCUUAUAAGAAGAGACACCAAGGAAGUGAUCUUUCUCUGCCCUCUGCUAUGUGAAGACAAGGUAAGAAGACAGCUAUGAACCAAGAAGCAGGCCCUUACCAGACACCAAAUCUGCUGGUGCAUUGAUCUUGGACUUCUCAGCCUCCAGGACUGUGAGAAAUAAAUGUUUAUUGUUGAAGCCACCCAGUCUACAGUAAUUUGUUAUAGCAGCUGAAAUUGACUAAGACAAUUUAAAAAAAUUAAUCUCAUUGACUAUCAAUUUGGAUUCUGGAGCAUACCUGGAUUCAGGUAUACAUUGGAUUUGGGCAUAUCUGAACUGGAAUAUGGUCUCUAUCAUUCUAACUCCUUUAACUAAGUUAAAGUCUGUUAAGUGCCAAACCUCAGUAUUCUCAUCUGUAAAAUGAAGGUAGUGAUAGUAUCAAACUGAUAGUGGUAGGUUGUGGUGGUGCACAAAAGGGCCUAGUCCAGCACUGGACACAUGGUGAUGAUGAUGAAAGAUAAUGAUACUGAUAAAUAAGAAGACAAUACUAAUAUACAUAAUUCCAAAAGAAUUUUUCUUAAUACGUGAUCCUCUUCACUCCCCGUCUCCCAUCCCCAUUAAAUUACCUGGAAUUUUUUAGUCCAUCUUUCAGUUUGUCAAGCAACGAAUAACACUAAAGGUAGUCUUUUUUAUUAUCGUGUAAUUAUGGAAUUUUUUAUUAUUUUGCAUUUUAAAACUUUGUUUUGAAUUUCCAAAACUUUUUAUUUAAUAUCUAAAAUGUCUUUCUACUAAAAUUUUGCUCUCACCGUCUGAGACUCAAAGCAGAAAACCCAGCCAAGACCAUCUCAAAUUCUGACCUACAGAACUGGGAGUUAAUAAUUGGUGUUGUUUUAAACUGCUGAGUCUGUGGUAGUUUGCUAUGAAGACUAAUAUAGUUGGUUACUAUUGUUAUUCUAAUUUCAGGGAGAAGGAAUAAGUCAUGGAGCGGUUAGGUUAAUUGUCCAUCCUCUCAAGUUAGUAAGUGUUGGAGCCGAUAAGUGAAUCUAAACAGCGUGAAUCUAAAGCCCACUGCAUACUUCUGCCAACAAUUAUGAAGGGUCGACUGUAUGCUAAGCUCUAAUGCAUUUUUACAUAUAUUGCUUUACUAAAUAGGUUACCUCAACAACCUUUAUGAGGUAAAUAUUAUUAUUAUUUGCAUUUGACUACUGAGGAAACCAAGAAUCAAAACCUUUAAGUACAUUGCCCAGGAUCAAGGUGGCGGUGAGGAAUGGAGCCAAGAGCUAGUAUCAGAGCCCUGCUCUGGUUCCAGUAGUGAUUUUCACAGCCAUUGUGUUAAAAUGCCUAUUUAGACAGUGGUCUAACUUACUUUAUUUAUUGACAUUUUCAAUUUCAAUGGUUAUAAUUAUAAUUGUCAUUUUUUAGUACAGUUUGCAUUUCUCCCUGAUCUUCUUGAUGCAUCAUUUUAGAAUAUACAUUGCUGAAAUGUAGAAUUUCAAGCACAUUUUAAAUUCUCUACAAUAUUUGCAUAACUCAUAACACUUUUCUUCAUUGCUCCCACAAGCACCAAGAUAAUUCUUUCCUCCAACCCUCUGCUCAUGCUGUUAUCCCCACCUGAAAUGCCCUCUUACAAAUCCUACUAGCUGAAUUACAGUUUCCAUUUAAGACCUCCCCGAAUUAUUCUAGCACCAGAGAACCAUCAUUUCUUAGAAUUAACAGUGCUUUUAAUUUUUUUUCUAGUUGUUUCACUUGUGUUAAUCUUAUCUUUCCAAAGAAUUAUAUGGUUCUUACCAUUUAGAUAACUGCAUGUCUUAGACAUAGCUGAGUGUUAUGUUUUAAAUUUCUUCAGUCUUUCCACUGUGAACACUAAGGAAAAUUAAUUUUUAAGACUACAGAUUUGAUACCAAAUCCCUACUUCCUAAUAUUUCACUGCCUGAUUCCCUAAUGGAUGCUCUUUCCAGAAAAUGUGUAGGGUCAUUAAGCAAGAGUGUACCUUUGCUUUCAGAAUUUGACCCUGGUAGGAGAAAUUUCUGGUGCUUCUAAUUCUUUCCCUCCAGUUUCCCAGUCAAACUCAUUUCAGUGACUUGGUUUUUAGCUUCCUGAAAUAUGUUUGAAUAAUUAAUAUAUACACACAAUAAAAGUUCAAAGGUACAAAAGAGUGUGCAGGAAAAUAAAAGUUUUCCUCCUAAUGACAUUCCCUUCUUACACAAGGUUAUUCCCUCAGGGCCUACUGCUGAUAUCUAGUAGCUAUGCUUGUGUAUCCUUCUAAAGAUACACAAACACACCCCCCUAUAUAUGUGUGUUUAUAUGUACUUGUGCAUACAUGUGUGUAUAUAUAGUGUGUAUAUGUGUACACACAUACUUUUUACAAAAGUUACUAAAUUAUACAAUCAUGGAUCUUGCUUUUCUUCACAAACGUUCUGUGUUUUGAAAUUGUAUCAAGGACUGCAUAGUAUCUGUAUAUGUAAAUCCUUUUUGAUAGACAUUUAAGUUGCUUCCAAUCUUUUGCUAUUGCAAGCAAUAUUACAU
rnacentral:lncRNA from 1 species